rnacentral:tRNA from 1 species
GACAGCAUGGCCGAGUGGUUAAGGCGACAGACUAGAAAUCUGUUGGGGUCACCCGCGCAGGUUCGAAUCCUGCUGCUGUCG